ensembl:lncRNA STX18-AS1 STX18 antisense RNA 1 (head to head)
GGCCUCAGCCGGCGCACCUGGCGGAGGAGGAACCUCGCGACGCGCUCUCGGGCAUCGGUUUCUCCCAGCAAAGCUUGGAGGGUUUAGCUGCGCGGAGAGCUCAGCGAGCUCUUCUGUGUCUGUUUGGGGCGUGUGGGCUCCGGGAGCGUGAGGACCGGGAAGCUAGGAGGCUCCUUCCCUUCUGGCGGCUCCCUCACUGAGACCGGGCGGUUUGGUUGCGGGGGAAGUGGAGACGAGCCACCCUUGACCUUUGACUGCAAGAACUCACCUUGAGCAGGAUAGAGGCACGUGGACGGUGACCCUCGGGAUGCAAUAAAUGCUGAGACAGAUCAGGUGUGCAAGGCACAGAGCUAGAGGCCAGAGGCCUUUCUUCUCCAACCUUCAGUCACCUCUUUUUAAAGUGAAGCCAGCAUCCUCCUCGGGGUUUACUGUGAAAAUUAAGUGAGCUGACGCGUGCUGUGUUUUGAUGUUGCUUGGCUCCUACAAACAUUGAGUGGGCCAGACACUGUUCUGAAAAAUACGCAGUCGACUUUUGAACAGCACAGGCUUGAACUGCAUGCGGCCACUAAUACUCGGACUUCCUUCUGCCUCUGCCAUCCCUAAGACAGCAAGACCCACCCCUCCUGCUCCUCAGCCUACUCGAUGUGAUGAUGUCUGGCUUCCUUUUCCCUUCAAUGGAAUAACAUAUACAAACUCUACCUAAGAGUGCUGUGUGAAGUACAUGCCAGCCUACAAGACAUGUCUCUAACCAAGUCGAAAGAGUGCAGUAUUCGUUCAUUCACUCAUUCAUUCAUUCAACAAAUGUUUAUUAAUAGGUAUUGUUUACCAAGCACUGUGUGUUAAGGAGAAGAUGGUAUGAAACAAGCAGACCCAGGCCUCAGGGAAGAGAGGCUGUUACAUUCAGAGACAAUUACCAUACACUACAAUGAAUGCUUUGAUGAAGGGAGGCAAAAAAACAAAAACAAAAACAACAACAACAAAAACCCCACAACGAUGUGGAUCCCUCCCUGUGGGGGUGAGGAGAAAGGAAAACAGCUUCAGGGAUCUCCAAGCCCUUGUGCCGGCCACUCUUCUUUCUUCUCUUCCUUCCUCCUCUGUCUUUCCUUUCAUCCUUCCUCCUCCCUUCUCUUUGGACAUCACUAAUAAAAGAGAAACAGAUGUCAGAGACGUAGACAUGGGGAGGGCUUUAAUAUCUAGCCUUACGGAACAAAAUCCUUGGGACCCAAUAGAACUUAGUGUUGCAGAGCUUUCUCCUGAGUUCAGCUAAAACCAGGCUCUUGUCACACGACCAGGGAAGAUUAGGCUCCCGGACACAUAGAAGGGUGAGGAAAACAGAAUUUAUUGGGCGAAAAGGAAAAAGAAAGAAAAACUCUCAGCGAAGUGAUAGGGGGUCUUGCCAACAACCUCUCUCCUCACAAAUUGAAUCCUAGGUUACCACAGAGGCCAGGUUCCUCUCCCCUGCAAACUUCGUGAACUUCCCCUGGCUCUACCCCUUUCCCCCAGUAAGAAGGUGGGCCUCAUUUAGAGAAAAUCGUUUGGGAAAGGGCAGGCUUCAUCAGGGACCAGCAAUCCAGUUUCUCAGCCUUCAGGCUGUUUUAGCCUUGGAGGUGGGGUUUCACCUGGGACACUUGGCUGCCCCCUGUCUCUAACAUUAGAUGUCUCUAACAUCUAUUCCCCUCCCUAUCUUUGCUGGACACCUGACUCUCUCCUAGAGCAACCCAGCAAACAUCUGUCUGUUGUGUACUUAAAUACCCCCACAGAUUGGGAACUGUCUCCUUUAUGGGAAAGCUCUUUAUAUUUGGGACACCCCAGUUUGUUCAUUCAGCACAUUUUCUUUUCAACUUUUUUAGAGACAAGGUCUCACUCUGUCACCCAGACUGGAAUGCAGUAGCGUGAUCAUAGCUCACUGUAACCUCGAACUCCUGGGCUCAAGUGAUCCUCCUGCCUCGGCCUCCCAGGAGCUAAGGGCUACAGGCGUGUGCCGCCACUCCCAGCUAGUUUUUUAAUUUUUAAAAAUUUUUUGCAGAGGUGGCGUCUUGCUAUGUUGACCAAGUUUGUCUCAAAUUCCUGGCUUCAAGCCAUCCUCCCACCUCUGCCUCCCAAAACACUGGGAUUUCAGCCGUGAGCCACCAACGCACCUGGCCUCAUUCUCCAACUCUUUACAAAGCUUCAAAGACAUCCCAGACGCUGGGAAUACAGAGACCAAUCAGAUACAAACCCUGCCCUCCAGCUGUUCGCAGCAUUCUCGCUCCUUUGCGGCCACCUCUUCUGCCCUGCUUUUCCACCUUGUCCCUUCUUCUGUCAAGUGGCUUUUGGCUUGGUCACCACUUUGCUGGUGUUUCUCUCCAGAAGUGAGUCCCAGACUUCAGGUGUGGUCUGACUCACGUCCUAUCGGGUCUCUCCCUCUGAAAACCGUGCUUGUAUUAAAGCAGCUUGGGAGCUCAUUAAUGUUCUUGGCAGCCAGGUCCUACCCCUGACAGUGCAGGAGCUGCCUGUCCACUUAGGGGACCCCUGUCUUUUUCACACGUGAGUCUGUUAAGCCUCACCUCCCUCAUCGCCUCCAUGUGUGCGGCAGUUUUCAACAAAUGUUCAGAGUACAACACCUGCCCUUGUUAAACGUAAUCUUGUUACACUAGUCCCCUUGUUUUAACUUCUCAAACAUUUUGAGUCUUGCUCCUGUUAACCAAGAAGACCUAGAAAGCUCCACAUCUCCUCUUAAAAUGUGUGUGUGUGUGUGUGUGCGUGUAUUCGUACGCACACCCCUGGGUACAGCUCUGAGGAGGCCACCUAUAGGUUUCUGAACAAUCUUCCAUGAAUACAGCUCAUUCAUACACACAUUUAUUUAUUCUGCAACAUUUAUUCAACAUUCCCUAACAAAACUUUCAUUCUUGAGCACUUUUUGCCCAAGCAUUACAGGGAUAAUAGAAGCAAACGAAUCCAUACUAAGGAGUGAAUUAUUGAUAGUGCUCACCUGCAUUUUUUUAAGCAGAAAGUAGUAUUUAUUUUGGCCUAAUUUCCACCUGUCAGAAAAUCAAAACAGUGAUGAAUUGCAUAUUGCUAUACUACAUUUUAUUAUCAGCAUCAAAAUUCAAGUGUGCUCUGCUUAAAAUUCAGAAGACAAACUUUCUCAUUUAGAAAAGUUCAUUCUGUUAGUGACUGAUCAGAAU